CCGGGACCCUCUUCCCCCCCUCCCCGAGACCCAUCUCCGCCUCCCUCUUCCCUCCCUCCCCGAGACGCCCAUUCGUAAACCCACCCACACCCUCGCGUUGCCAUGUCUGUUUCGCCCUAAAAUUGUGGUGAUUGAAAAGUGUAAUUUCUGGUGGGAGAUCUGCAGCCACGGACGAAGGUAUUGACUCCCAUUCAAUCUUCGUGAGAUUUUUUGUGUUAUGUGGAUUUUGCAUGUUAUGGAGUUUUCAGCUUUAAAGUGUGUGCUGGUUCAAUUAGAUAAACAUUUGAUGUAAGCUUCCAUCACGUAGUCAUACUCGUUAAUUUCAAUCUCACUUAAGUUAUGGUGUCAUGUAGGCUGAGUAGUGAAAAUUCAAAGUAAGAGUUUUGAUUGCAUAAAAAAUAUGUUGUGUAACCGAGUCUAUGAAAGUCAUGCAUGUAAAUUGACCUGUAAUUAGUCCAAGGUAAUUCAGUUGAAAUGAGAAUAAAUUUCUAUGAUAGAAUUUUCCAGAGUUGACUCACUGUUGGAAGGAGUUGAAAUUUGUUAAUGGUAUGGCUAGGGGUAUGGUGAUCAGUUCAUAACUUGUGCAUGAUUAUAUUUCUAUGAUUAUAAUCAUUGAGGCGUGAUUAGGGAUUACAAUGUAUUCCCUUACUGUAUAAGGAAAGAGGCAAGUUUGUCAAUCUUCAAACAUUUUCGUUGAAAAUGAAUACCUAUUAGUUGGAAAGAAAUAAUGCUAUUGAAAAUCAUAGGGGGAAAAAUUCUGGACAAUAUUUGGAAAGAAAUACAUUUUUCUCACAUGCAGUUGUCUACCAUUUUUAUGCACACGUGAUAAGGAUUUUACUAUGUAUUUAAAUUUGUGGUUCUAUUAUUUACAUUCCGAUCAGUAGGCUCUAUCGCUAUGUAUUCAAUGCUGUAAAUGACACAUAUAUAUCGUUGACGUGCUGCUACAUUAUUCAGAAUCACGCAUGGCAUCAUCCCAAUCAUCAUGUUUAUCUAAUGAUGAUUGGGUGGAAUCACCAACUUGUUGGUGUGGCUUGAAAACAUCAGUUAAGACAUCCCACACUAAGUCUAAUCCUGGAAGGAGAUUUUAUGCCUGCCCAAAGUAUGAUAUGGGAGAUGUGAGGUGUGAAUUCUUCGUCUGGACAGAUAUAUUUUAUUUGCUAGAUCAGAAUAUUCGUAACAGAGAAAAUAAAGUUUGGAAGAUGUGGGAUGACGUGCUGCUUCGAGAGUGCGAAGUUCGUUUAAGGGAAGACAAAGUAAGAGAGAGAGAGAGAACACUUGAAAAAAAACGAAGGAAAUUAUUGUGUUUGUAUUGGGCUCUCACAAUUGUAAUACUAUUUGCUUGGUUUGGAUAAUGCCUUGUAUGUAUUCAAAGACACGUUGUAUGGAGUACAUCAUUUUGAAUUGGUUCUAAUGUAAUCGUACUCCCUAUGUUUUGGUUAUGAUGUACAAAAAGGGGAUUUCUAGGUUGUGAAAAUUUAUCAUGUGCUUCAAUGAAGUUCCAAGUGUGACAA